ACUCCUACGGGAGGCAGCAGUAGGGAAUCUUCCACAAUGGACGAAAGUCUGAUGGAGCAACGCCGCGUGAGUGAAGAAGGGUUUCGGCUCGUAAAACUCUGUUGUUAAAGAAGAACAUAUCUGAGAGUAACUGUUCAGGUAUUGACGGUAUUUAACCAGAAAGCCACGGCUAACUACGUGCCAGCAGCCGCGGUAAUACGUAGGUGGCAAGCGUUGUCCGGAUUUAUUGGGCGUAAAGCGAGCGCAGGCGGUUUUUAAGUCUGAUGUGAAAGCCUUCGGCUCAACCGAAGAAGUGCAUCGGAAACUGGGAAACUUGAGUGCAGAAGAGGACAGUGGAACUCCAUGUGUAGCGGUGAAAUGCGUAGAUAUAUGGAAGAACACCAGUGGCGAAGGCGGCUGUCUGGUCUGUAACUGACGCUGAGGCUCGAAAGUAUGGGUAGCAAACAGGAUUAGAUACCCCUGGUAGGAUAGCG
rnacentral:rRNA from 1 species